rnacentral:tRNA from 1 species
GCGGAAUUAGCUCAGGUGAUAGAGCAUUAGCCUUCCAAGCUGAGGGUCGCGGGUUUGAGCCCCGUCUUCCGCU